GAUGAAGAACGCAGCGAAAUGCGAUAAGUAAUGUGAAUUGCAGAAUCCAGUGAAUCAUCGAAUCUUUGAACGCACAUUGCGCCCGCCAGCAUUCUGGCGGGCAUGCCUGUUCGAGCGUCAUUUCAACCCUCGACCUCCCCUUGGGGAGGUCGGCGUUGGGGACCGGCAGCACACCGCCGGCCCUGAAAUGGAGUGGCGGCCCGUCUGCGGCGACCUCUGCGUAGUAAUACAGCUCGCACCGGAACCCCGACGCGGCCACGCCGUAAAACACCCAACUUCUGAACGUUGACCUCGAAGCAGGUAGGACUACCCGCUGAACUUAAGCAUAUCAAUAAGCGGAGGA
rnacentral:misc_RNA from 1 species